AGAGUUUGAUCCUGGCUCAGGAUGAACGCUGGCGGUAUGCUUAACACAUGCAAGUCGAACGGUGUCUUCGGACAUAGUGGCGGACGGGUGAGUAACGCGUGAUAAUCUAUCUUCAGGUCUGGGACAACCACUGGAAACGGUGGCUAAUACCGGAUGUGCCGGAAGGUGAAAGGCUUGCUGCCUGAAAAUGAUCUCGCGUCCGAUUAGCUAGUAGGUGGGGUAAGAGCCUACCUAGGCGACGAUCGGUAGCUGGUCUGAGAGGAUGACCAGCCACACUGGGACUGAGACACGGCCCAGACUCCUACGGGAGGCAGCAGUGGGGAAUUUUCCGCAAUGGGCGAAAGCCUGACGGAGCAAUACCGCGUGAGGGAGGAAGGCUCUUGGGUUGUAAACCUCUUUUCUCAGGGAAGAACACAAUGACGGUACCUGAGGAAUCAGCAUCGGCUAACUCCGUGCCAGCAGCCGCGGUAAUACGGAGGAUGCAAGCGUUAUCCGGAAUGAUUGGGCGUAAAGCGUCCGCAGGUGGCUGUGUAAGUCUGCUGUCAAAGAGCAAAGCUCAACUUUGUAAAGGCAGUGGAAACUACACGGCUAGAGUGCGUUCGGGGCAGAGGGAAUUCCUGGUGUAGCGGUGAAAUGCGUAGAGAUCAGGAAGAACACCGGUGGCGAAGGCGCUCUGCUAGGCCGCAACUGACACUGAGGGACGAAAGCUAGGGGAGCGAAUAGGAUUAGAUACCCCAGUAGUCCUAGCUGUAAACGAUGG
rnacentral:rRNA from 1 species